AUGUGUCACUGGGUGAAUUCAGCAUCCAACUGGAAAGUCACCUUUGGAAGUGGGACACAACUGAUGGUGAAACCAGAUGUUACUCCUUCUCCUUCAGUCUACAAGCUGAUCUCUAAAGAUGAUGAGGAUUUGCAAAUGUGCCUUAUCACAGAUUACUCCCCUGAAAAGCUUACUCUUGACUUCACUGCUAAGCAGACAGAUGCUGUUGUGGAGGUGGUAACAUCUGAGAACAAAAAGGAAGCAAGCUACCUGUCAACCUACUGGGCCAAGAAAGACGAAAUGCAGUGUGGUGCAACUCACGAGGGCUUUGGAAAGCUGGAGGGCGAGAAUCCUGAUAGUGGUGACAGCACUGUCUGUGUUACAGGGAUGUCUCUGCACUUCAGGACAGAUGAAAACUUGAACAUGCUGUCUUUAUCACAGCUGGGCCUGAAAAUAAUUUUAAUGAAAGGAAUAAUUUUUAACAUGCUGAUGACGAUGCUUAUGUGGCAAAAGAAGAAUGAAAGUAACCAUAGAGUGCAGUCCUGA